rnacentral:rRNA from 1 species
CCCUUAGAUGUUCUGGGCUGCACGCGCGCUACACUGAUGCGAUCAACGAGUUUUACCUUUCUCGGUAGAGAUGGGCAACCUUUUGAACUCGCAUCGUGAUGGGGAUAGAUUAUUGUAAUUAUUAAUCUUCAACGAGGAAUUCCUAGUAGGUGCAAAUCAUCAGUUUGCAUCGAUUACGUCCCUGCCCUUUGUACACACCGCCCGUCGCUGCUACCGAUUGAGUGUCCUGGUGAAUUAUUCGGACCGACAGCAUCGGAAGUUUCUUCUGUUGCCGUUGGAAAGUCUUGUAAACCCUGACACUUAGAGGAAGGAGAANUCGUAACA